UUGAGAGUUUGAUCCUGGCUCAGAACGAACGCUGGCGGCAGGCUUAACACAUGCAAGUCGAGCGGAAACGAUGUA
rnacentral:rRNA from 14 species